rnacentral:lncRNA from 1 species
UCCUAUUUCUAUUAAAACAAUUAAACAUGCGAACAAUACAUUUAUUCAAGAAAUAGAGGCUACGCCAUCAGACAAAAAUUCAAAACCAUAAACAUGUAUAUAAACUUCAACAGUCGCAGCGGAGUAUAAACCAGAGUAAUCCAAAUAUACAUGUCAUGAAUCAAUUAUUACAUCAACAUAGAUGAAUCUCAAAAAUCCCAACAUACGGGUAAUCUCCAAUCAUAACAAAAUCCAAAGUAAAAGAUAAUCUAGACCGACACAACGAAGCCUAGAUCAGAGCCGACUAAACUCUAAACACCGAUAUCGGAGAAAGCUCCCGAUAUCCACACCAAGCACAAAAACUCACCGAGCAACUAAUCCUGCACAACGUCUACCCAUUCAUACAGACAGGUAGGCGGUCAAAACCACUGGGGAUAAGUAUUACAUCAUUAUAAUCCAAAUAACAGUUAACAUGAAUAUUUCAAUUCAAACAUCAUGUAUUUGAUCAAUAAUAACAUUCUCAUACAUAUAGUUACAUUAAACCCCAAUAUCUCACAUCAAUAAUCACCAAUCACAUGUGUCAUGAACAAAUAUCAAUACACAAUUAUUCAUACACAAUCAUCAAUCACAUAUAUCAAUAAAACUCAUGUCAUGAUAUGCACCUAUCGACACAUACAUGCAUGUGGUACCAAAUCACCUCAAGGUCGUCACCUUCGAUGCAACAAAAAUAUCGUAUGUAAGAUUUCACACCCGUCUUACAUAAUCUCCGAAGUAAAAGAGUUCAACCCUUUUACAACUACAAUCUCAACACGACUAUGAUUCAUGAACAUGUACAAGGACUCGAUAAUGCGACAACAAUCCACAAUUUUCACCUCAAUAUAUAGGACAACACCCAAUUAUAUUGAUUAUCUCCACAACAUUUGCAUUAUCAAGAAAACAUGUCCAUACACAAUCAAUUCAUAGUAUUCAUCAUCACACAUCAACAUGAUUAUCAAUAAUCAACAAUGUCAUUCAACAUCAACUAUCACAUAUAGUUUCACCAUUCAAGCAUUAUUUACAUUCUAAGUAAGAUAGCAUACACAUCUCAUGAUAAACAUCAUAUCCAAUACAAUCAUUCAUUCAUACAACUUCACUUAGUUAUAUAAAAAUGGUCACCACAAUUCUUAAGACAAUUGGUUCAAGAAACAUUUCCGGCCGAAACGUGUCAAAUGGCAAACGGCCAACUUUGACAAUCCCAAGACAAAACGUCAUAGACAAGUUGAAAGUUCUCAAACAACCUUAAUCAAUCAUGUAUUCAUGAAGUUAAGUCGCUUCCGGAUCAUUAGACAUUAACCCAAGAACAACUUAAGUUCGUAUGAAAAAUCCCUCUUUACAACCUUCCACAUUCCCACCCGAAAUAUCACUUUUUACAUGAUUAAGAUGUUUGACCACUUUUACAAGCUUUACCUAAGUCUAUAUGAGCUGUACGUUCGACUUACAAGUUCCAAUGUUUGCAAAAGUUUGUUUUCGACAAAAGUCUAGAAUUCCCAAAAAAAACUUCCAAGUUAAGACUCAAAUGAAGAAUUUCAAGUUUAGGCAAGCUAAUCAUUGUUCCAGUGGGUUUUAGAGGACUAACAGUAGUUAAGCAUGUUUAAAGAAUCAUUUUACAAAGCUCGGAUUGGCCCCCAAAGACCUGGAACAAAGAUCAAAGUGGCUGAAAACUGGACCUGUUCGCUUAAGCGACCACCUGGUUCGAUUAAGCGAACGAAUUACAGUAACAAACCACAUUGCACGCUUUCUGGUCGCUGACUGGUCGCUCACCAGUUCGCUUAAGCGACCACAUGUUCGCUUAAGCGAACGAGUUCCACUAGCAACCAGAAAACUUCACUUACCAGCAUGCUAACUGGUUGCUUAAGCGACCUAACCCAGAAAAUCAGUAUGAAUGCUCGCUUACAGGUCGCUUAAGCGAACCUCUAAGCGAACGUUCACAGUUUUGCAGAAAUUGUUAUGGGUUUGAAUCCCUUUUCACCAAAAAUCCCCAAUUUUGAUCCCUCAUUGCCCAAUUGUGUUUCCAGAACAUGUUUAUAGGUCAAUAUGACUAAAAAGACUCAAUCAAACUUGAAAACACUUGACAAUUGGACCAAUUCACAAAUUUCACCAAAACACCAACAGCGUAACAUCUCAUUUCUCAACAACCAACGAAUCAUGCAAACCCAAGCCAUGAAUUAUCAUCAACAACAUGACUUAACAACAACAACAUCAAUUGAUCAUGAAACUUAUCAUAAUUUAUCAACAACAAUGCAUAAUUCACCAAUUGAGCAUAUUUUCAUCAUAUACCCAUUUUUCAUACUUUGAACAUGUAAUUCAACCAACAACAAUUCAAUUAUUUAUAACUUCAUACAUCUAAACAUAGGCAUCAUAAUUAGAUCAUGAAUUUCAUCAUUUAUGAACAAUUAAUCAAUUCAUCCAAUUAAGCACUUUUCAUACAAAUAAUUGAAAAUUACAAUAAGUAAUUAUGAUGAAUUCUAACCCCCUUACCUUAGUAGGUUAAUCUCUCUAGCUUAGGCUUCAAUUUUGCUCCUAGCUCUUCUCCCAACCCUUGAUUCUUCAAGUCCUCUUCUCUCUAACCCUUUUCUCCUCUUUCUCCCACUUUCUCUCUCUAUUCUCUCCAAAAAUAUCUUAUGAAUGAAAGUAUGAGGAAAUUUCUCAUAAGUGUAGGUUUUUAUAUCAAGUCUCCUUAAUGGACCCAACCCUCCACUUAAUGGACUUAACCCAUUUCUAUUCACAUCUUGAAUGUUUCUACACUCUAACGGUAAUUCACUAAACCUUAAAUAUUACUCUAGUAACUUAGUAAAACAUCGGUUCUCACUACUCACCAAAAGUAAUUCUCACCAAAACUUAUAAUUUACCCGUUCUCACAAAAUGACCAAAAUACCCUUCUAACACAGAAACAAUGAAAAUGCACCUAAUGAUGAAUAAUCACACACAAACACAUAAAACACAUAAUAAAAAUAAUUAA